ACAAAAUGAAAUUUCUUACGUUCAUUUCAUUGAUUUUCAUUAUCGGAACAAUCCAAGCAUUUAAAUGUCCAGAUAAUAAUAAUUUAUUCUAUCGUGAUCCAGAAAAUUCACAUUAUUUCUAUGAAUGUGUCAAUGGUCGUGCAUAUCAUUUUGAAUGUCCAAAUAAAUUAGUAUUCAAUGAAAGUAUACAGGCAUGUGAUUAUACUACUGGACCACCAAUUGAACAUACAACACAUCAUUAUGAAACACCGAAUCAUACUGGUACACGUAAACGACAUACGACAACAGUAAAAUUUCAUAGUACAAAUUAUUAUCCAACAACAACAA